CUGUGUUGCUGGAGUGACUUCAUGCUUGAUUUUAAGGUGCAGGGCCUCCCGGCUACAGAAGAAGGUGCAUCAGUCACCAGUACAGACUGUGACUGAAAACUUCAGAUUCACACCUUUGCAUCUGAACACUGAACCUGUGAUGGACAAUUAUGUCUCACCAGAGAAAAUCUAUCAGAAUUAUAAACCACAAACUACAUUUAUGAGCUAUUAACCAUGUAGGCACCAGCCAUCUAUACUGGCUCAACUAUUAAUUAUACUCAGUAACUUGAACCUGUCCUCGAUCUAGCAAAUCUCAGACCUUAUGCGUAGCAGGACAGCAGAAUACUCUAAACUGACCAAGAAAAGCCUUUCUCUUUCCUGACAUGAAGGGAGACAGGGGAGCAACCUGUUUAAGUUACUGAUUCCUCUCUUUCUGUAAAUAUCAGAAAACAGAUUAAAUAUUUUUUAAACAUUUGAAACUUGUAAAGGCUGAGGUGGAGAAAUACACGAUUUUGAUUUGAGAAUGGGUUCUGAGGUAUGUGCCAUUUCCCCUCACAUCCAUAAUUGAUACAUUUCUGUGACAGAGUAAAAGGCUUGGUGAAAAUGUAGACCACCUUAGCAUCUAGAUUCUCUUUCCUGUCUCAAGAUGGAAACCAGGAAUUGCAAAAAGGAGCCCUAAAAAAAAAAAAAAAAAAAGACGAGAUGAUCUAUCUGGCAGAAAUAUAGGAAUAAACAUUUUGUUCUAGGUAGAUAGUUACAUAUGGCAGAUUAAAAAAAAAAAAGGGUUGAAAAACA